UACAGAGGGGGCAAGCGUUGUUCGGAAUUACUGGGCGUAAAGGGCGCGUAGGCGGCCUGUUAAGUCGAACGUGAAAUCCCCGGGCUCAACCCGGGAACUGCGUCCGAUACUGGCAGGCUUGAAUCCGGGAGAGGGAUGCGGAAUUCCAGGUGUAGCGGUGAAAUACGUAGAUAUCUGGAGGAACACCGGUGGCGAAGGCGGCAUCCUGGACCGGCAUUGACGCUGAGGCGCGAAAGCCAGGGGAGCAAACGGG
rnacentral:rRNA from 1 species